AACUCUCAACCCCCCUGUUUUGUAAUGAAACGGGCGUGGGCUUGGAUUAUGGCUGUUUGUCGGCGUCAUUGCCGGCUCAGCUGAAAUACACGAGCAACCCAUUUGAAAUAGGCGGUUUGACUCGGCGUAAUAAUUAUUUCGCUGAGGACGUCUUCUUUAAAGUCAGCGGUGCUUCUAAUGCGCUUUUAAUUAAGCAUCUUAAGC
rnacentral:misc_RNA from 1 species